GACGAACGCUGGCGGCGUGCUUAACACAUGCAAGUCGAACGGAGUGGCGAACGGGUGAGUAUUACGUGAGUAACCUGCCCUCAAAUGUGGGAUAAGCCUGGGAAACUGGGUCUAAUACGGCAUAGUGGGGGAUGGGCUCGCGGCCUAUCAGAUUGGUGGUGGGGUGAUGGCCUACCAAGGCGGUGACGGGUAGCCGGCCGGAGAGGGGGGGCGGUAAAAUUGUGACUGUGAUACGGGCCCGACGCCUACGGGGGGGAGCAGUGGGGGAUAUUGCACAAUGGGCGCAAGCCUGAUGCAGCGACGCCGCGGGAGGGAUGAAGGCUUUCUGGUUGUAAACCUCUUUCGGUACAGAACGGGUAUGUGCAGAAGAAGCGCCGGCUAACUACGUGCCAGCAGCCGCGGUAAUAC
rnacentral:rRNA from 1 species